rnacentral:rRNA from 1 species
CUGCGAAGGCUCAUUAUAUCAGUUAUAGUUUAUUUGAUGAAGAAAACUAAUUGGAUAACCGUAUAAUUCUAGAGCUAAUACAUGUAUAAAGUCUUGUAGACUGCAUUUAUUAGAAUGAAAACCAUAGGUUUCGGCCUAUUCGUGAGUAAUAAUAACUAAUCAUAUCGUAUGCUUAUGUAACGAUGUGUCUUUCAAGUUUCUGCCCUAUCAGCUUUCGAUGGUAGUGUAUUGGACUACCAUG